GUAGUCAAGCUGACUGACUGACCUGCAAUGUGAUUGAUUAAAGAACGAGCAGGGUUAGGAAAGCAGAGAAUUUAGGAGCGACCGAGGGCUAGAGUAUUGAAUGGCGAGAGGUGAAAUUUGAUGACCCAUUCAGGAGUGACAAAGGCGAAGGCACUAGUCAAGGGCGAAUCCGAUGAUCAAGGACGUAGGCUAGAGUUUCGAAAACGAUUAGAAACCGGAGUAGUUCUAGCAGUAAACUAUGCCGACGCCGUGAUAUUGUUUUUUGUGGCGGUAUUGCGGAAGAGAAAUCAAGUAGGGCUUUGGGGAGAGUACGCGCGCAAGCGAUAAAUUUAAAGGAAAUUGACGGAGGAACACCACAAGGAGUGGAGUGUGCGGCUUAAUUUGACUCAACGCGGGACAGCUUACCAGGCCCGAUAAUCGAGCGAGCGUAGUACGCGAUAGAUUAAAGAGUGGUGCAUGGCUGCUAUCGACAGUUGGG
rnacentral:rRNA from 1 species